GCCUGCUAGACUAGUCCUCCAUUUACCCAGAGUCAGAACUUAUAUGGUCUUUCCCAGAUAUUGGGUAAAGUUUAUUGACAAAUCUAUAGAUGACUUAGGACAUAGUAAUAGUCCAUUGUGAUUGGUAGCAGGGGACCGAGUGGAUUUGAGCAGCAUGAGAAGCCCAGUAGUCAUGUGUCACAGCAUGGUGUGUUCAGCUCCACCUUCCUCCCCACCUCAUGUCCUACACUGGCUGUAAUCCUCAGGCCCUGCAGACUAUGGUGCUGACCAACAGCUGGGAGAAAUAGAGACAUCUUCAAAGGCCAUGGAGACUGUCCCCUUCCUUCACCAAUAUCAGCAGGAUUUCAUGUCACACAGACACCUUAUGAGGCUACCUAUGGGGACCUUGCUACUGUGUCACUUGUCAUGUGUACAGUUGCCAGAAAAGAAGGAAACUGCUUUGUGAUAUUACCAUGAGACCAAUGGGGACUUUAAAACAGUUACAGAGUUUAAUGGCUGUGAUAGGAGAACUGAGGAUGGAUCAGCAACAUUGUAGUGACUCCACAAUACUCACCUUAAUGACAGAGUGAAAAGAAGGACGUCUCUACAGAAUACAAAUAUUCCAAAACAUGCUUCCUGUUUGCAACAAGGCACUAAAGUAAUACUGCAAAAUAAAUGUGGCAAAGCAAUUUGUUUUUUGUCCAGAAUACAAAGUGUUAUUUUGGGGGCAAAUCCAACAUAACAAAUCACUGAGUACCAUACUUCAUAUUUCCAAGCAUGGGGUUGGCUACAAAUUCACCUUUCAGCAGGACAACUACCUACAGUGACGGAAAAAAGUAUUUGAUCCCCUGCAGAUUUCUUAUGUUUGCCCACUGACAAAGAAAUGAUCAGUCUAAUUUUAAUGGUAGGUU